rnacentral:lncRNA from 10 species
UCUUAACAUAUUGUUUUCCCUUUCUUUAAUCACAGCUUUUUCACUAAAAGUUACAUAAUGUAAAACUACCUCAAUUCAGACCUUUCUCACGUAUUACUUGAAUUAUUUUAGUGGCUUUAUAAUUGUUCUUCCUUCAGCCUCUAUUUUGUUCUUCAUUCCGUCUUCCACCAUACCAUGUUCUUGAAACAAUUUUUCUGCCUUGCUCUUUUUUCAUUUGUUUUUGUUUUUGUUUUUGUUUUGAGACAGGGUCUUGCUCUGUCACCCAGGCAAGAGUGCA